UUUCAAAAAGAAGGAAAUAAUAACUUCUCCUCAUGGGCCCCUUGUGCAAUGGCUUCAAAUACAGCCUCCUCGGUAAUGUAUGUGACCUGUUGUUUGCACAGGUUGCUCUAAGGGACCUUGGAGACACCC